CGACGGGGGGUCAGCACAGGUGGAUCUGCCGUCUGCCACAGCCCCGCAGCCGCGCCCCACCGCCGUAACGCGGCUCGUUGCGGUAAGUGAAGACCACAGGUGUAGCGUGGGCAGCGCUCGCUCGAACCUUCUCCUCAGGCCGGAGCCCCGCGCUUGGCUCGCCCCUCAGGGAGCAGCGCUUCACGCGCACCACAAGCGCCCCGUCCGCCUCUCACGUUCCUGUUUGGAUAUCGCAAAUGGGAAACGUUUUGUCAGACUGUGCUUCGUGGGAUGGGGAAUUCAAGUCUGGUUCUAUCCCCUGAUAGCAUCGCAGAACCACCUGAGGUGGAAGGGACCCUUUAAAGGCCAUGCAGGCCACUGCCGAUCAGGGGAGAGGGAAAGAAAGAUCCUCCAGCAAAACACUCGUUAGAAAGAAUUCCUCUUUCAUGGAAGCUGCAGUAGAUAACUGGAUUAAAGACCUGCAGGAAAUGGAAAAUGCAUUGCUCUGAGAUCAUAAAUGGACUUAUCAGAACAGCUGGACUCUAUUUACCACUUCAUCACAAGUUUGUGGACCUCCCAGGCACACCAAUUACUUCACAUCAGCUCUGAAUACCCACGACCGUUUGAUGUCCCACAUGAAGAGUAUAGAAUGGAUUGCUGCAGACCAUUACAAAUGCAAAUGAAAAGCUACUCAGGACCCAGAAUCAGAAUUACAACUAUCUCACAGCUGAGAGGGACUAAGAUGACAGAUGCUUCAGUUUCUUACUAUUUUGAAAUCACAGAGUUCUGUUCUAUUGAAAAUUAUGACUGUGUUGAAAAUAGAUUACAUAAAGUCUUAACUGAUGCCAACUGGCAGCUGGAAUGAAGGAUGGCUGUGAUUUCCUGUACAGGCCAGAUGUGUCACCAAGGUAGAGAAAGCGUGUAAAAACUGAAAUAUCGAAGAUGACAUGAAACAAGAAAUGGAAAUAACUUCAUAUGAUGACAUCGGGGAAGUAAACAUCAAUUCUAAUUGUCCUGUUACUGUUGCAUCAGCUCAUCAAAAUUGUUAACUGUAGUUUUCCCUUACUAAGCUACAUUAGGAUAUUCAGACUCUCCCAAAGUGCCUCAUCACACAGCCCAAGUACCUCAUUUUUCAUGGGCAGAGUUUUGUCCAUUGAUACCUGGCGAAAGAGAAUUGGCACUAUUUAAUGAAUUGUUGUUGCUUUCUGUUGUUUAGUAACAUUUCCAGACCAGCACACUCCGUACCUAUGGAAGUCUGAAUUCCUUCCCUUUUAUGUUAAUUCUUCAGCUUCCAGGUUCCCAACUUUGGUGUUUGCCAACAUACUCUGAGAAGUUUGUUCUGGUUUUGAUAAAGCAUCAUGUGACUUUGCUCUCAAGAAUUGAGAAAUCCUUAAUUGCUACGUGCAUUUAAAUAAAGCGCUUUGUCUAGGAAGGCAGGUCUGGUCAGUGGGAGGUGCCCACGGCGAUCCCUGCGUACACAGGGAGGUGCCAGGCCAAGCACUGCCACUGCUGCGGCAGCUCCUCUCUCCAGAGGCAGGCUGCUCUUACCCAUUGGCUUCUGAACUCUGCUGGUACUGUUUAAACUUCAUUUUUUUCCCCUCCAAGCUCCAAAAUUUGAUUUCUUCAGCCAUACU
rnacentral:lncRNA from 1 species